AUGAUCACUUCUGUGACAGGAUUUCCUCUGCCUGCACACGUUCCAACAGCGCCUACAGGAAUCACAACCACGCUUUGUGGGUUGUUUGGGAAUAGCACCUGUACCUGUCCCUUUAGCUGCAAUAGGAGCUAUUUGGUAGCUUGGGCCGCUCUCACACCUGAGAGCAGCAUGGACACACACUGCACACCCUUGGGUAGGACUGACUGUGUGUCCGUCAUGCUAUCCAUAUGCCAGUCAUGUAGAACUUAUCUAUUUUUUUUUAGCUUGAAGUUCAGAUUGCAACUUCUCUAUUUUGCGCUCUGAUGUCUGGGACUUCACAGUGGUAUCAAGCAUAUUAGUCGCUAGUUUGCUGUGUCGCAAUUCGCCCCCCGAGUAAAAACACAACAAGCUCUAUAAUUUGCUUCUUACAUUGUUUGCCAAUAUAUUGUCUAAUCGAAUCUAAUGUAAGACCAUUCUUCACUUUUUUGAUCAAAUUAAUAAUGAGAUGAUUGCCAUAAGUCAAACAUAUUAAUUCCUUGCAUGUUCGUCAUCACGUAAGCUACAUAUUCUGUUACAUAAAUCUGUGAAUCUAAUGGAAUAAAGUGACAUUUUGUCAAAAAUGAAAGCAUGUUGUGUUCCUUUGCCUCGCUACCGCAGUAAACAACUAUCAAGCAGUGGUCNNNNNNNNNNAGGGUCGGAAACUUUCCCGAAAUUUUCCAUGGGAAGAUAAGCCCUGGAAUUUUGCUUAAAUUCAUCAACCACAAAAAAAGUUAGCUUAUAACAGUGAACCUUUUUUGUGGGAUACACAUAAGGCAAUUCUACAGAAAGUUUCCACCUCUGAAUAUUCCCCAAAAUGUGCAACCCUAAAUAUGAUGCACAGAUAGACUAAUGGAUGAUGAGAGACAGUCAAGUAGCCUACAGUCCUAGUCUCACUGGCCCAGGGUACCUUCUCUUUACAGCUGGUGUAGCUUGGCUAUACUAGUAGGGUUAGU
rnacentral:lncRNA from 13 species